rnacentral:rRNA from 1 species
AGAGUUUGAUCAUGGCUCAGAACGAACGCUGGCGGCAGGCUUAACACAUGCAAGUCGAGCGAAGGCUUCGGCCUUAGCGGCGGACGGGUGAGUAACGCGUGGGAACGUGCCCUUUCCUCCGGAAUAGCCCAGGGAAACUUGGAUUAAUGCCGGAUACGCCCGAGAGGGGAAAGAUUUAUCGGGGAAGGAUCGGCCCGCGUUGGAUUAGGUAGUUGGUGGGGUAAUGGCCUACCAAGCCGACGAUCCAUAGCUGGUUUGAGAGGAUGAUCAGCCACACUGGGACUGAGACACGGCCCAGACUCCUACGGGAGGCAGCAGUGGGGAAUCUUGGACAAUGGGGGAAACCCUGAUCCAGCCAUGCCGCGUGAACGAUGAAGGCCCUAGGGUUGUAAAGUUCUUUCAGCGAGGAAGAUAAUGACGGUACUCGCAGAAGAAGCCCCGGCUAACUCCGUGCCAGCAGCCGCGGUAAUACGGAGGGGGCUAGCGUUGUUCGGAAUUACUGGGCGUAAAGCGCACGUAGGCGGAUUGGAAAGUUGGGGGUGAAAUCCCGGGGCUCAACCCCGGAACUGCCUUCAAAACUUCCAGUCUGGAGUCCGAGAGAGGUGAGUGGAAUUCCGAGUGUAGAGGUGAAAUUCGUAGAUAUUCGGAGGAACACCAGUGGCGAAGGCGGCUCACUGGCUCGGUACUGACGCUGAGGUGC